GCAAACUUGGUCAUUUAGAGGAAGUAAAAGUCGUAACAAGGUUUCCGUAGGUGAACCUGCGGAAGGAUCAUUAGAAAAUAACCAGCCUGGCUGGUGAAUAAUUCUAUCCACCUUGUGUGCAAACAAUGGAAAAAAAAGAGAAAAUUGGAUACUUUUUCGUAUCCAACCUCUCUAAAGUUUUUAUAAACUCUAUCAAAUUUUGAAAUGAAAACUAUUUUUUUUUUUAAUAAAAAAUAUUAUACAACUUUCAACAACGGAUCUCUUGGCUCUCGCAUCGAUGAAGAACGCAGC
rnacentral:misc_RNA from 1 species